rnacentral:rRNA from 1 species
GGACUACACGGGUAUCUAAUCCCGUUUGCUCCCCUGGCUUUCGCGCCUCAGCGUCAGUAGGUGUCCAGCACGCCGCUUUCGCCACCGGCGUUCCUUCCGAUAUCUACGCAUUUCACCGCUCCACCGGAAGUUCCGCAUGCCCCUACACCCCUCAAGACCGCCAGUUUCCGCGGCACUUCUCCGGUUGAGCCGGAGGCUUUCACCACAGACUUGACGGCCCGCCUACGCGCCCUUUAAGCCCAGUGAAUCCGAACAACGUUCGCACGGUUCGUCUUACCGCGGCGGCUGGCAC